ensembl:miRNA MIR124-3 microRNA 124-3
UGAGGGCCCCUCUGCGUGUUCACAGCGGACCUUGAUUUAAUGUCUAUACAAUUAAGGCACGCGGUGAAUGCCAAGAGAGGCGCCUCC